UACGGAGGGUGCGAGCGUUAUCCGGAUUUACUGGGUGUAAAGAGCGCGUAGGCGGAUGAGUAAGUCGGUGGUGAAAGCCCGCAGCUUAACUGUAGAAUUGCCAUUGAUACUGCUAGUCUUGAGGACAGUUGAGGUGGGUGGAAUUUGACAUGUAGAGGUGAAAUGCUUAGAUAUGUCAUAGAACACCGAUUGCGAAGGCAGCGCCCUGAGCCGUAUCUGACGCUGAGGCACGAAAGCGUGGGGAGCAAACAGG
rnacentral:rRNA from 1 species